rnacentral:sRNA from 1 species
AUGGUAAAUAAUCUUCAACAUCUCUUUUUCUUGUUGAACCAUCCUGUUGACAGUGCAACCACAGGUGUGUCAUCGGAGUGGUACCGAUUGUCACACUCAGAUGGUCCACCACCAUCCCCACCUUUCUUAAAGCUGUUGAUGGUUAGCCUAGCCUUUGUAUGGCAGGACACAGGCGGUUAACAUAAACUUUGCCUUCCACACAACAUUCAGAGUCAUUCUCUGGGUUACAUUGUCCUCGAGGAGGCUUUUUUCCCCUUGACUUGUCACUAGGCUUGCAAGUAUGAGCUUCAACGUUUGAGCACUUUGUAACAAGAAGAAGAAGGAAGAAGAGAAGAAUGACGAUAGAACGAAUUUGAUUCUUCAUCUUCUAUUUUAUUUAUUUACGUAUUUUGUUCUUUUGCUUUGAUGAUGUUUUAGCGUGAAGAUGUUAAACAAGCGAUAGGCUAUAUAUAGAGAUAAACUUGCCAAAUUAACUUUGUUUUAUUCAUAUUAAGAUGUGUCCUUUGUGCAUCUGUAUUAUCGAUACACGUUUAGAGAAUAUUGUGACAACCAAUGAACAUUGAGAUUCCAAUCAAGCGUAACUUGAAACUCAAAAUAGUGAAUUGUUAUUUUGUUUUUAAUUAUUGAUUUUUUGUGAACGAAGUUCAUGUGUUCGGUUAACAGAGAUUGAAAGAGAAAAUUUUCUUACUGAUAGGUUGUCUUGAAGUUUUAAGCUUAAAUUGAUGAGACAUGAAAAUGAAUAUUCAGCUCGGCUGCCGGCUGACAUUAUAAGUAAUUGUCAACUAAGAGAUCAUUGUAGACGAAAAAACAUCCAAUGAAAACCAUGGUUUUAAAAACCGGACCGGACCGAACCGAACGGUUCGACCGGUUCAACUAAGAACCGGUCUUCAAUUCGGUCCGGUUAUAGUCAAAAACCGAAAAUAGCUUUAAAACCGAUAAACAGUGCAAACCGGCUGGUUCAACCUGAGAACCGAAAAUCAGAAAGGUCGAACCGGUUUUGAAAAAUUGCUGAAACAGAUCUGCAAUAGAGCUUUUUUUUUGUAGUAAAAAUCUUCUUUUUUCUCAGAUUUGCUGAUGGUGAGGACAGAUUUUUGCAAUAAAGUCUUUUUUUCUUAAGAUUGGCUAUGCUUGAGAGAGAGAAAAUGACUGAAUGUUCAUGCUUGGUGUUGAAAUUAGCAUCUUGGAAUGGUAUCUACAGAUCUUCAGUCAUUCAGUGAGGAAGAGAGGAACCGAUGAUGGUAUUGUAGAGAUAAGCAAUAGAUCUAACUUCCUGAGAGAGGUUCCUCAAAAAAAAAAAAAAAAAAAAAAUUCCUGAGAAAGAGAGGGAGAUAUGGAUUCUGUGGAGGACAGAAAACUGGAAAAAUAGUCUUUUGAUGGUAAGCAAAGUGGGGAGUGUACGCAGUGAAGUGCUAGAUUUAUGAGGCAUAUUGUAUAUCGUGUAUUAGAGGAAAAAAAAUAUUAAAGAAAGAGUAAACGUGUGGCUAGGAGGGGUGGAGUGGGAAAGUGGAUUGAUAAAGGGGGAAUAAGUCAGUGACUUGUCUAGUCAUCUGACUUUGGGUNGUUAAAUAGUGGCCAACCAUUACUCACAAGAAAAGAAAGGUGGUAUGGAAAAAAAAAUCAAAUUUUUUUUUAUAUUUUCUUAAUAUAAAUUAUUAAAUUUUAUUAAAACUUAUUUGCUAUUUGGUUAUAAUGAACUUAUUUGUUAUUUGCUAUUUGGAUGUAAAUGUAAUGGCUAAUGAACUUAUUUAUUUGGUUUUGUUGAAACUUGAAAGUUUAUCAUGUUAAGGAUGGUUGUGUUGUAAUGUUAUUAUGUUAAGGAUGAUUGUUUUGUAUUGCUAUUAUGUUAAAUUUUUAAAAAAGAAUGUUAUAUACUUAUAUACUUGUAUUUUUUUAAAAUGAAACAUAUUUAUUACUAUUGGUUUGUGGGUUUUAGUAUAUUAAAAAAUUAUUAAUUAUUUAUAUAAUUUAAAUAAAUAAUAAUUAAAUUAUUUAUGACGUCACCAGUUCGACCAUAAAACCAGUAAUUAGCAGCUUUUCUGGUUCUUUCACUGUACCGGUUUUUAAAACCAUGAUGAAAACACCUUGUACACACAUACCAAAAUAAAGCUUUGCUUAUAUUUUCAUAUGAUGGAGACCAGAGGCGACUCCAGAAAUUUUUUCCAAGGUGUUCCUCAAUAAACAUAAAUUAUACAAUCUAAUAAAAAAAAAAUUGUAUAUUGACAACAACAAUAAUAAAAAAACACGCAAAUACAUAAAGUUUAUAAUUGCCUUCUACGUGGUUUUCUUAUCAAAUAUUUGUCCAUAAUUUUAGCAAAAGAAUAAAUAAUAAACUAUAAAUUCAUUGAAAUAUUAAUAAAAUUAUUAAUUAUUGUUGUUUUAUUAAUUUUUUUGUCUUUUAUAAAAAAUAAUUUGUUAUAUUAUUGUUUCAUUAAUUAUAAAAUUAUUAAUUAUUGUUUAACCUAACAUAAUUAAUAACUUUUUUUCCCUUUUCCAUUGUUUUCUACGUCAGGUUUUUUUUUUUUUUUUUUAAUACUGAAAUGGUUGAAGUAUAUUAAUUAGAAGAGGGGGAAAAAAAAAAAAAAAACAAACAAACAAACAAAAGAAAAAACAAAAGGAAACCCGACCCAGGAGCUUUACAAGCACGGCCCAAAGAAAACGUUGGACCUAUAGUUCCAGAAACCCCCAAAGCUUUUUUUUUUUUUUUUCUUUUUUAACUUAUGUGCAUUUUUCCUUUAACCUUUUUCCUCUCGUUUCACACGUGCCUGUCUCUUCUAGAUUUUUCUUCAGGUCACUUUCCUCUUUUCUUUCUUCUAUUCUUUCUUCGUCCUUAGAGCAUUUGCAGCAGUGGUGGUAUAAAGCAAUAAUGCUAUAUUUUAGCUCCACUUUCAUUAAAAUGAUGCUCCAGCAGUGGAGCUAAAGCAAAAAAAUAUAGUUGAUUUGCUACAGUGCACAUCUAAAGAUAGAUGUGCACUGUAGCUUAGAACUAAAAAUAAAAAAUGAUUUUUUAUUCAUCUGAUCCACCCGUUCCUAUUUUUUUUUCUCAUUUAUCAAAACCGGUCCUCUCACUCUGUUCUCACUCUCUCUCGUUCAUCUCAAGCCUCCAAGCCUCUCAAGCUCACAUACAGACACACACAGACCCACCGCCGUCCUCAACUCCGGUACGGUCACCGCCAUCCUCAACUCCGGUAUAGUCACCGCCAUCGUCAACUCCGACCGGUAGCCGUCCUCGUCAACUCCGGUACGGUACAACCUGCUUCUUUUUUUUUUUUUUCUUUCAUUUUAUCAAAUCCGGUCUCAUGAUUCACUCUCUCUCGUUCACUGUGAUCUCUCAUCUCAAGCCUCUCAAGCUCACUCUCUCAACGUCGCCGCCAUCGUCAAGUUCAGACCCACGCCGCCGAUCUGCCUUAGACACACUUCGCUUCCGCCGAUCCACUUCAAGUCAGUUGUCUCUGUCCUCUUCGCCGAUCCAUUGAUCCACUUUUGGUUUUUGAUUUGGAUCCACUUCAUGUGGAUUUCUCUAUUUUUUAUUUUUGAUAUUUGAUUUUUUAUUGUUGUUUGGUGUUUGGUGUUGAACGAUUUGUUUAGCUUCAAAAACUCAUCCUCUUAUAUUGUAAGCACCUGAAUUAUGUUAGAUUAAAAAGGAAUUAGCAUCCUCUCUGUUUGGGUAUUAAAACAUCCUCACUCUCUCUCGUUAUUAUUAUUUGAUUGUUUGGUGUUUCUACUCUCUGUUGUGGAUGCUUGAAAAUAGAACUACCAACGAAUUGCAAAUUUGGAUGAGAUAGCAUUGGUGCAGGGAUUUUGUUUUAAUGUUUCACAUCUGAUUUGGGCGGAUUUUGUUGGAUAUAUUGUUGCACAAAACUAGAAACAGAGCACACAUUUCUUGUGGUCAUUUUAAUGUGAAAUUGUUAGUUUGGUUGUGAGAUGCUCAAAAAUAAAUUUGGUAUUUUCUUUAUCAGUGGGAUUAAGUUACAUGUCAAAUUAAUUAUUUAUACAUAAUCAUGUUCUAUUGUUAUAAUUCUAAGUAUUUGAAGUUUUGAUAUAAAUGUUGGUUUGGGAAUUUUCUGUGUGCAGGGAAGUUUGUAAUUUUUUUUUUCUAAUUUUAUGGAGUCGGAGGCGGUGGUGGAAGAGUCGAUGGCGGCGGCGGCGGCGGGACUGUGGCGGCGGCAGGGUGGUGGGGUGGCGGCGGUAGCGGUGGCAGUGACGGUUACAGGUGGUUGUGAUUGUUAUUUAUUGUAGUAGAUAUAUUAUUUUAUUGUAGUAGAUAUAUUAUUUUAUUGUGAUGUUUAUAUUAUUUUAUUGUGUUGAAAGCUAAAAUAGAUCCACUGCUGCAGCAUGUGUGUAGGUAUAAUAGAUAAAGUAACUUUUGGUGGAGCUAAAAAGCUAAAUUUUUAGCUCCACUGCUGUGGAUGCUCUUAUUUCUUAGUCAUAGCUUUUUUUUUUUUUUUAGUUAUAGCUUUUCUUCUCUCUCAAUGUUCUCCUUAAGCAUCAUUUUACGCCGCCACCAUGCUUCUUUCAACAAGCAUCGUUCAUCCCUAAUAGCACCUCCAUGCUCCUCUCUCAAGCUGCCUCUACCCAGCAUAACUUCUCCUCACCGCCAUUACUGAUCUAUAUCUGCUUUGUUUGGAUUAUAGGUUUAUAUUUUCAUUAUUUUGUAUGGGAAAUCAAGAGUUUUUGUUUAGGCCCAAAAUCUGUUUUUGGUUGAGGGUGUUCCUAUUUUUUUUUUUUUUUUAAGGGUAAACAAAUAAUUUUUUUUUAAUUAUUAUAUAUAAAUUUUUUUUUCUAGGGCAGGGUGUUCCUGGGAACACCCUGGCCUAAACGUGGCGUCGCCACUGAUGAAGACAUACUUUGUUUACCUCUACGUUUCUUAAAAUAUCCCAGCAAAAAAAAAUGUCUUCCUAAUCAAUUUGUCUUUCUCCAUUUCUCAAUCUUACAAUACAAAUCAGAAUGAAGGCCAUACCAUGCAAGUCUUUGUAGAUUGUGCUUGAUUUCCAUCCUCUUUCUCUAACCAAAUCUCUGUUUUCUGUCUGCUCUAGUCCUCUCUCACUCCAACAAACUUGACUUGUUUCAACCCACUUUUCUCAAGGGUUGACUAAAAAGUGCCGAAACAAUCACUAAAGAUUGGGCCGGGUGGUUAAGUUUGAUUAGCUUUAUUUUGAUGGUCAAAAUAAGUUUAAAGAAAACUUGAAAUAAAUGUGAAAAAAAAAACGCACCAGUUUUUUUCAGCCCACAACCCUUGAUAAAAUCUUACGAAUUUUUCAGCCCUUGAAAAAAGCCCACAACAAAAUUCUCAUCCCUUGAAACAAGCCCAACAAAAUUUAAAAAUAUAGCCCAAACGUAACCAACAAACACAGAGUCUUAUCACUCUUUCGCUGAGAGCAAACGGAGAAAGCUAAAAAAUCUCACAGAGCGUAUGGAAAUUUCAUAGAGCUCGACGAUCAUGGAGAUCUCAUAGAGCUCGACGAUCAUCGAUUAGGUACGUAAUCGCACAGGUCCGAUUGGCAUUGUGUUUCUCAGCUCCGAUUAGGUACGAAUCACAAACCCUAAUUUCUCAGCUCUUAAUAACUUUUAAUCGAUUUCCCAUGAUAUUCAUUUCAGAUUUCUCAGAAAACUGAGCUGAAAUCACUGUAACGUAAUCGUUUUCCUCAGGUUGUAGAAGCUGAAAUCACUGAGCAGGACUCGCUUCUUCUGGUAAUCAUCAUCAUUAUUCCGAUUUUCUGUCUUUCAACUUCAAUUACGGACAAUCGCAUUUGAAUUUCUUUAGCAGAAAUUUACAUCUGAGCAUAUUUUCCUUGUUUAUGUGAUCAGAUUCAAUUUUCUUUUAGAAAAUCCAUAGAAUUAUUUUUCGUUACUUCAUACUCUGUUUCGAGUACUCCAUGUGAAAUUUGGUUCAAACAAAUGGAAAUUAUUUCUCAUUUAAUUUUUUGCUAGAUCUUAGAGAUUUAAGAUCGAGAAAUUUAAUGGUUGUGUUAUGCUAAUUGAAAUUCGAAACAGACGGGGAAUCUGCUCCAAAUUGCUAUAUUCAAUAUUAGUUACAUCAGAGGCAGUAUAUAUCAGAGAAAUUUAGUAAGCUUCUUGUAUUUUUCAGUUGUCAUGUCUAUGUGUGUACAGUUUUUGUGUUUAUUGGUACAAGCUUAGUUUUGUAAAUUUUUUUGUAAUUAGAGUGAUGUGGGUUUCGAAGUUGGUGUGUUCAUUGGUACAAGCUCAGUUUUGUAAAUUUUUUGUACUUCAAAGUGGAUACUAAUUUAAUCUGAUGUUAAUCUUUAGAGGUUUCUCUUUUAUUUAUUUAUUUAUUAUACCUUAUCAUUCAGUCUACAAUUCCAGGAGAAAACGUACCCUCUUCAGAGUUGAAUUGGUACUUGCUUUUCAAUUUAAGGUGUUUUUUUGCUUUGCAUAUUUAAUGAUGUUUACAUAUGUUACAUUCACUUAGUUUGAUUGUUAUAUUAGGCUAAUGGUGUAUUUUGGUUAAGAUGUUUGUCACACCUGGGAUAUGCAUUAAUUGCAUUUGCACCAAAAGCUAAUGAGAAGAUAAACAGAGGAACUGAAAUGGAAUGGCCUUGAAAAUUUGUUAAUUAGUUUGUUUAGGGGCUACUGUAAAGUAGAGACGAGAUUAACAGUUCAUUGCGGAUGCUUUAUAAGUAUAUGCUUGAAAAGAUGCUAAGAGCUUUUGUACUAGUUGCAAAUUGCACAUAUUUUAUUUAGUUUUUGAUCAGAACAGGGAGGAGAGUGUAGCUCAAUUUUUCUUUAAAAGCCCAAAACACUUUGAGCUAAGGUUCGUCUUUUUGAAAAUUGUCCCCCCCCUUUUAAUAAUUAUGAUGUGUUGAAUUUGUUGGAACUUGGAAGACAUCAAUUAAUCUGGUGGGUGCAUUGUUUCUGCCAUGUAUCACGUGGAGAUUAUUGCAUUGUUUUUUCACGGGCAUGAUGUUUUUUGACUUGUCACCUUUUUUGUAUAAUUUUUGACCUAUUUUCAUUUUCUGCAGACCCUGCCACUGAAGCUGCUUCUCAAGCAAACAAGGAGGAGGCAGAUGCACGAUCGGUGUUUGUUGGCAAUGUGAGAAACACAAUCUUCUUUUUAUUUGAACUUAGCCUUUUCCAAGUUUGCCAUUCUUUUAUAUUAGUCUGCUGACUCUGCUGGGUUAUAUGAUGUGUUAUCUUGGUUUUUCUCCUCCACAACUUUAAAUACUCAUUCUUCAAGUGCUUAGUCUUUUAAAGAACCAUUUAUAUAGUUUAGUGAUGGUGGAGUUUUGUUUUUAUUUAUAUAUAGUUAUUACUUCUUGUUAUUAUUUCAUAGUAGUGCUUGUUCACAUGCUCCCAAGCGUAAAUGUAUAUGUUGAAUCUUGUUUGGAGUUACUUUAUACUAUCAUAAACAGUUAAUUUCAAGGUAAAUGUAGUAUAAUGAUAUUCUUGAAUGCAGGAUGGGCUUCUGACAUGUUUACUCCUAUAAGAUAUAAUAGGAUUUGCAAUUUGCCAAAAGAGAAAAGAAAAGAGAAAGGUAUUUUCAUUGAUUUGGAUAGGAUCCAUGUUUUGGUUUGAGUAUGAUAUCAGGUCCAAAGAGUCAAUCUGACCCUGUCAUCUUUAUAAAUGUGACAGAAAACAUAUACCCUGUUGUCCUGAAUUGAAAAAAUCUUUAUGUUAAUACAUUUUCAGUAAAAGGGUUGCAUAUUUUUGGGUAACAAGCACAGGUUCGAAUGUCAGUUGGAUGUUUACCAAUGAAACUAGUAUGAUGCUUCAACUUUUGCUACAUUGCAUUGCAAUAUGCAGAUGAGGAGUUUAAAUAUAGUGAUGGCUCAUGUAGAUAUUUCUACAGAGCCCUUUUGUAACAUAUUUGAGAUGUAUAGAAACAUAACUUAACAAUAAAAAAAUAUUCAACUAUAAUUUAUUAAGAAUUGCUUGUGAAAAAUAAAUUAGUAAUAUUAUUAAUCUAGCAUGUGGAGGGUCCACUUUUUGGUAUAAUAGUAAAAGCCUCAAGCUAUCAACUAUCAAGUGCUGAAGUGCACAUAAUUGAUUACUGGGAGUGGUCACUUCAACCAACAUUACUGAAAGGAUAGCACUGUAUUCUGAAUAACCCUCCCUUGACUCCACCUUGAUGGGGACCAAGACCAAAUAUGGGUAAUGGCCUUUUAAUGAUUGUCAAUUUGGAACUAUUUUUGGGCUGUUCUUGUUGUCUAGUUUCUGACAGUUCUUAGCAAUCACUUCUUGAAAAGUUUUUGCUCAGCUUGCCAAUGAGUUUCUGAUUUGCUGCAUUAAAAUGUAUAUGCACUAAAUAGUAAAUACACUUUCUAAAUGACCAAAUAAAUUUUUCACCAAAAAAAAAAAAAAAAAACUGUUUCUAGUCAUAGAAACAGUGGGCUGGUAGAUUGUUUCUGGUUCCUCUUUUAUCAUAUCCUUAGAGCUUAAGAUCAUCAAGUACUUUAUUCUAUUUUGUGUAUUUUAUCUAUUGUAUUAUAUAAUGUCUCAAACUCUACAUUGAAAUAUUCUUUUAUGCAGGCUUUUCCAUUGGAUUUAG